ACUAUGAACGUUGAUAGGCAGGGUGUGUAAGCGUUGUGAGGCGUUGAGCUAACCUGUACUAAUUGCCCGUGAGGCUUAACCAUACAACACCC
rnacentral:rRNA from 1 species